UACGAAGGGGGCUAGCGUUGCUCGGAAUCACUGGGCGUAAAGGGUGCGUAGGCGGGUCUUUAAGUCAGGGGUGAAAUCCUGGAGCUCAACUCCAGAACUGCCUUUGAUACUGAGGAUCUUGAGUUCGGGAGAGGUGAGUGGAACUGCGAGUGUAGAGGUGAAAUUCGUAGAUAUUCGCAAGAACACCAGUGGCGAAGGCGGAUCA
rnacentral:rRNA from 1 species